rnacentral:rRNA from 1 species
GAUGAACGCUGGCGGCGUGCCUAAUACAUGCAAGUCGAGCGAACAGACGAGGAGCUUGCUCCUCUGACGUUAGCGGCGGACGGGUGAGUAACACGUGGAUAACCUACCUAUAAGACUGGGAUAACUUCGGGAAACCGGAGCUAAUACCGGAUAAUAUAUUGAACCGCAUGGUUCAAUAGUGAAAGACGGUUUUGCUGUCACUUAUAGAUGGAUCCGCGCCGCAUUAGCUAGUUGGUAAGGUAACGGCUUACCAAGGCAACGAUGCGUAGCCGACCUGAGAGGGUGAUCGGCCCCACUGGAACUGAGACAAGGUCCAGACUCCUAAGGGAGGCAGCAGUAGGGAAUCUUCCGCAAUGGGCGAAAGCCUGACGGAGCAACGCCGCGUGAGUGAUGAAGGUCUUCGGAUCGUAAAACUCUGUUAUUAGGGAAGAACAAAUGUGUAAGUAACUAUGCACGUCUUGACGGUACCUAAUCAGAAAGCCACGGCUAACUACGUG